rnacentral:rRNA from 1 species
CCUACGGGUGGCAGCAGUGGGGAAUAUUGCGCAAUGGGCGAAAGCCUGACGCAGCGACGCCGCGUGAGGGAUGAAUGUCUUCGGAUCGUAAACCUCUGUCAGCAGGGAAGUACGGUCACUGUGCUAAUCAGCAGUGAAUUGACGGUACCUGCAAAGGAAGCACCGGCUAACUCCGUGCCAGCAGCCGCGGUAAUACGGCGGGUGCGAGCGUUAAUCGGUAGUACUUGGCUGAAAGCGAUCGUAGGCGGUAUGUCAAGUCAAGGGUGAAGUCCCCGCGCUCAACGUGGGAACUGCCUUUGAAACUGGCAACCGUGAGGGUGUGAGAGGAUAGUGGAAUUCCAGGUGUAGGAGUGAAAUCCGUAGAUAUCUGGAGGAACAUCAGUGGCGAAGGCGACUAUCUGGCACAUAACUGACGCUGAGGAGCGAAAGCGUGGGUAGCAAACAGGAUUAGAUACCCGUGUAGUC